rnacentral:rRNA from 1 species
GACGAACGCUGGCGGCGUGCCUAAUACAUGCAAGUCGAGCGAACAGACGAGGAGCUUGCUCCUCUGACGUUAGCGGCGGAGGGGUGAGUAACACGUGGAUACCCUACCUAUAAGACUGGGAUAACUUCGGGAAACCGGAGCUAAUACGGUAUAAUAUAUUGAACCGCAUGGUUCAAUAGUGAAAGACGGUCUUGCUGUAACUUAUAGAUGGAUCCGCGCCGCAUUAGCUAGUUGGUAAGGUAACGGAUUACCAAGGCAACGAGGCGUAGCCGACCUGAGAGGGUGAUCGGCCACACUGGAACUGAGACACGGUCCAGACUCCUACGGGAGGCAGCAGUAGGGAAUCUUCCGCAAUGGGCGAAAGCCUGACGGAGCAACGCCGCGUGGGUGAUAAAGGUCUUCGGAUCGUAAAACUCUGUUAUUAGGGAGGAACAAUUGUGUAAGUAACUAUGCACGUCUUGACGGUACCUAAUCAGAAAGCCACGGCUAACUACGUG